GACGAACCGAGCGAACGUUAUUCGGAAUCAUUGGGCUUAAAGGGCGCGUAGGCGGGCGAUCAAGUCCGGGGUGAAAGCCCCCAGCUCAACUGGGGAAGUGCCUCGGAUACUGGUCGCCUCGAGGGAGAUAGGGGCGUGCGGAACUUCCGGUGGAGCGGUGAAAUGCGUAGAUAUCGGAAGGAACACCGGUGGCGAAAGCGGUGCUCUGGGCCGGAACUGACGCUGAGGAGCGAAAGCGUGGGGAGCAAACAGG
rnacentral:rRNA from 1 species